rnacentral:rRNA from 1 species
GAUGAACGCUGGCGGCGUGCCUAACACAUGCAAGUCGAGCGAACGGACGAGAAGCUUGCUUCUCUGAUGUUAGCGGCGGAUGGGUGCGUAACACGUGGAUAACCUACCUAUAAGACUGGGAUAACUACGGGAAACCGGAGCUAAUACCGGAUAAUAUUUUGCACCGCAUGGUUCAAAAGUGAAAGACGGUCUUGCUGUUACUUAUAGAUGGAUCCGCGCUGCAUUAGCGAGUUGGUAAGGUAACGGCUUACCAAGGCAACGAUGCAUAGCCGACCUGGGAGAGGGAUCGUCCACACUGGAACUGAGAGACGGGCCAGACUCCUACUGGAGGCAGCAGUAGGGAAUCUUGCGCGAUGGGCGAAAGCCUGACGGAGCAACGCCGGGUGGGUUAUGAAGGUCUUCGGAUCGGAAAACUCUGUUAUUAGGGAAGAACAUAUGUGUAAGUAACUGAGCACAUCUUGACGGUACCUAAGCAGAAAGCCACGGCUAACUACGUG